rnacentral:hammerhead_ribozyme from 1 species
AUCCCGAUGACGAGUCUCAAACAGGACGAAACGCGCGUCCUGGAU